CUUACUUCACUUCUUUUUUCAUUUUCUCUCAACACAACACAAACAUUUCUCUCAUACUCCCUCAUCCUCUCUUACGGUACCCACUCCAAAUCAACAUCUCCACCAUCAUUUUUAUGGCAAGAUCACCGGAAAAUUGUUAUGAACCUAUAAGCACCUUCACAUCUUUCUUUGAGGUUUGCUUGAUAUUAUUGAGGUUUUAGCUAAUCCCUUUUGGAGUUUGGAGAAUUAGGCUUUUUGCGGGUUGCAAGGUAAGUAGCUUUUUAAUGGGAUUUUAGGAAAAUAACCAUGUUUCAUAAAUGUUGUUUUUGGGUCAAACACAUUUUGGAAAAUUAUAUAUGGAUAUAUAUUUUCUUAAAAGUGUUGUGUUGUGACCCUAUUAUAUAUUAUUAUAUAUGAAAAUGCAUCAUGUUUGGUAUUACAUUUAGGGAAAUGCAUGAAUUGUAGAUAUGGAAAAAAUGAGCAUCUUUUAUUUUAUCUUUGAUAAGAAAAUCAUUGAUUUUAUGGUAUAUUGAAAAAUUUAAAAAUGCUUAUCUUGUCUUGUAUUAUUUGGGAAAUUGAUAGAAAAUCUCUUAACAAGAAUAAAGAUAAAAACCUUACAAACUUUGUAGAAGUUAGAUUAUUUAAGGUUUUUCUGAAACUACUUGGAUAUGAAAUAUGUGUUUCAAAAUAACGUAACCUGUGAGCUUAUGUGGUUUUAACACCAUGCCAUGGGUGAUUUCUCGGUAAUCACCCGAUAUGGUUUCCAUAUUCUUUGUGACAAUAGAAUCAAAUCCAGGUCAGUACCCUUUCACUUUGGAUGACGCGUUCUUCUUUACUACCCAUGGGGGGAAGAGGUUCGUUGAUUAUGUGUGGGUGAGGCUGCUGCCCAUGGGGCCAAGAGACCACAUGCAAUAGAGGUCCUAUUUGACGCGCUCUUUCUGCUGCCCAUGGGGGGAGAGAAAAACCUUGAGGGUAUGGGUGAGGCUGCUGUCCAUGGGGCCAAGAGUCUGCAUACCAGAGAGGACAAUAUCAUGUCAAUUGUGAAUGGGUGGAUCCCCUGACCGGUCUAUGUGGUAGUGUGGUAUAUUUGUGAUAAUUUACCUUAUGUUAGAUAUUAUGACUUCGAAAAUUAUAUUGUUGGUGCUCACAGAUUAUAGUAUAUAGUUUCAAGGUAUUUACUUUGAGAAACUUUGUGUUUCAUUAUUUAAUCAUUCUUGUCAUAUUAUUAUUAUUGAAGAUAAAA